rnacentral:snRNA from 16 species
GAUCGUGGCGGAGGAGGGGCUGGACGCCAUGUGGAAGCGGCACCUGGACAUGCACCACCAGCUGUGGGCGGGCCUCAAGUCCCUGGGGCUGAAGCCCUUUGUGGAGAAGGACGAGUUCAGGCUGGCCACUGUGAACACGAUCAAGGUGCCCCAGGGCGUGGACUGGGCCGCGCUCACCAAGUUUGCCAUGGACAAGUACCAGG